rnacentral:rRNA from 1 species
UACGAAGGGGGCUAGCGUUGCUCGGAAUCACUGGGCGUAAAGGGUGCGUAGGCGGGUCUUUAAGUCAGGAGGAGAACUCGUGAGCUCAACUCCAGAACUGCCUUUGAUACUGAGGAUCUUGAGUUGAUGGAGAGGUGAGUGAACUGCGAGUGUAGAGGUGAAAUUCGUAGAUAUUCGCAAGAACACCAGUGGCGAAGGCGGCUCACUGGCCCAUUACUGACGCUGAGGUGCGAAAGCGUGGGGAGCAAACAGG